UCUAGUGGCGCACGGGUGCGUAACGCGUGGGAAUCUGCCCUUUGGUUCGGAAUAACAGUUGGAAACGACUGCUAAUACCGGAUGAUGACGAAAGUCCAAAGAUUUAUCGCCAGAGGAUGAGCCCGCGUAGGAUUAGCUAGUUGGUGUGGUAAAGGCGCACCAAGGCGACGAUCCUUAGCUGGUCUGAGAGGAUGAUCAGCCACACUGGGACUGAGACACGGCCCAGACUCCUACGGGAGGCAGCAGUGGGGAAUAUUGGACAAUGGGCGAAAGCCUGAUCCAGCAAUGCCGCGUGAGUGAUGAAGGCCUUAGGGUUGUAAAGCUCUUUUACCCGGGAUGAUAAUGACAGUACCGGGAGAAUAAGCUCCGGCUAACUCCGUGCCAGCAGCCGCGGUAAUACGGAGGGAGCUAGCGUUGUUCGGAAUUACUGGGCGUAAAGCGCACGUAGGCGG
rnacentral:rRNA from 1 species